GACGAACGCUGGCGGCGUGCUUAACACAUGCAAGUCGAACGGAAAGGCCCUGCUUUUGUGGGGUGCUCGAGUGGCGAACGGGUGAGUAACACGUGAGUAACCUGCCCUUGACUUUGGGAUAACUUCAGGAAACUGGGGCUAAUACCGGAUAGGAGCUCCUGCUGCAUGGUGGGGGUUGGAAAGUUUCGGCGGUUGGGGAUGGACUCGCGGCUUAUCAGCUUGUUGGUGGGGUAGUGGCUUACCAAGGCUUUGACGGGUAGCCGGCCUGGGAGGGUGACCGGCCACAUUGGGACUGAGAUACGGACCAGACUCCUACGGGAGGCAGCAGUGGGGAAUAUUGCACAAUGGGCGGAAGCCUGAUGCAGAAACGCCGGGUGCGGGAUGACGGCCUUCGGGUUGUAAACCGAUUUCGCCUGUGACGAAGCGUGAGUGACGGUAAUGGGUAAAGAAGCACCGGCUAACUACGUG
rnacentral:rRNA from 1 species